rnacentral:rRNA from 1 species
ACGGAAGGCAGCAGUGGGGGAUAUUGCACAAUGGGGGGAACCCUGAUGCAGCGACGCCGCGUGGGUGAUGAAGCAUUUCGGUGUGAAAAGCCCUAUCAGCAGGGAAGACGGUGACGGUACCUGCAGAAGAAGCCCCGGCUAACUACGUGCCAGCAGCCGCGGUAAUACGUAGGGGGCAAGCGUUAUCCGGAUUUACUGGGUGUAAAGGGAGUGUAGACGGCUAAGGAAGUCAGAAGUGAAAACUGCGGGCUCAACCCGGAGACUGCUUUUGAAACUCCAUAGCUGGAGUACCGGAGGGGCAGGCGGAAUUCCUGGUGUAGCGGUGAAAUGCGUAGAUAUCAGGAAGAACACCGGUGGCGAAGGCGGCCUGCUGGACGGUAACUGACGUUGAGGCUCGAGAGCGUGGGGAGCAAACAGGAUUAGAUACCCUGGUA